rnacentral:rRNA from 1 species
UGAGGAUCUUGUAGAGUUGUGAUACCACCUGAUCCCAUAUCGAACUCAGAAGUGAAACGCAGCAUCGCCGAUGGUAGUGUAGGGCUUCCCUAUGUGAGGGUAGGUCAGCGUCGGUUU